AAAGUAAUGAGGAGUAUCCGGAUUGGUUCGGUCACAACGUGUGCACAGACCCAGACUGGUGGAGUUCUCUUGGGAAAGGAUGGGAGACCGACUGUUUGGCAAAGGCUGAGCAAUUCCAGACUAUAUACCCCCUUCAUCAUCUGGACCAGGCCUGCAAGGAUUUCUGCACCUUCCACUGUCAGCUCUACACACAUAUUCAGCUGGAAGCAGUUACAGAA